UACGGGGGGGGCAAGCGUUGUUCGGAAUUACUGGGCGUAAAGGGCUCGUAGGCGGCCUGCUAAGUCAUACGUGAAAUCCCUCGGCUCAACCGGGGAACUGCGUGUGAUACUGGCGGGCUUGAAUUCGGGAGAGGGAUGCGGAAUUCCAGGUGUAGCGGUGAAAUGCGUAGAUAUCUGGAGGAACACCGGUGGCGAAGGCGGCAUCCUGGACCGAGAUUGACGCUGAUGCGCGAAAGCUAGGGGAGCAAACGGG
rnacentral:rRNA from 1 species